rnacentral:lncRNA from 1 species
GGGAGAUGAGAGAAAAGAGAGAGUCUCAUUAGUGAAAACCCCUCGAAGGGCACUAUGAGGCGACAAGACAGAUCAACAAAAAGCGACCACAUUCGCAACGAAAUGGACACUCAUUUAUCAUCCGCAGCAAGUCAGACCAUCGGGCAAAUCGAUUGAUACGAAUAGACUGGGUCGGGAAUCUAUGGUGCACGUCAUGAUCACGGGACCAGUCAUGUCCUCCAGAUAAGUUCUUCUGAGUUUCUUCUCCCACCAAAUAUUGGUUCAGAAAGAUUUUCUCCUUUUUCUAUCUUUUAUUUCUCUUCCUGAAAAUUUGUCUUGAAAAGGAUUUUUCAAAGCUUACUACCAGAGACCGAAGGGGAAUUCAUCCAAUGUAGGAUAACAAAAACAGUCUUAAAGGCCGGCCCCAGGCAAUGCAAUGAUCGUGCCUUGCAGUUUUGGAGGAAGUAAGCUCCUAAAGGGAGUGGUUUCGGGAGUAAAAGCAGACUCCCACAGCAUGUGCUUAAAGAGAAAGCAGAAAAGGGGAUAAAUUGAAAACCAGCCCCAGCAGGCUAGAAACCCCCAGCAAGCAAUUUUGUCCACCAACCAAUUAUGGGGACAUAGAGCAAGAAAAGGGGAAGAGAGGAAAAAUCAUCCACCACAAAACACCUUCUACCACCACGAUUAAAACUAACUAAAUCAUUUUGUCUGCUGCAGGAAAACAAAGGAUUAAUGAUGGCAGCAAGACGCAACGCCAGGGAAAUCACCAAAAAACCGGGGCAGAAAAUUUUCUGCCGAUUGUCGAAAAUUUUCUCGGAAGAACGGGGAAACAAUUUCAAUACUUUUAAGUUCUAGGUCGCCCACCAGUAAAAUGCGGGAAUACAUUUAAGUUCUAGGUCGCCCACCAGUAUAAUGCGGGAAUACUUUUAUGUUCUAGGUCGCCCACCAGUAAAAUGCGGGAAUACAUUUAAGUUCUAGGUCGCCCACCAGUAAAAUGCGGGAAUACUUUUAAGUUCUAGGUCGCCCACCAGUAAAAUGCGGGAAUACAUUUAAGUUCUAG